UCAGUACUGCAAAAUAAUGUGAUGAAACAAAGAAAAUCAGUGAGUUGAAAGUAAGUUAACCUAUUGGCAGACUACUUGGAAAACACUCUUACUGAAUCAAACCCAUGAUUAAUUUGAUACACUUUCAAGUUUCUAGUAUCUUAGAUAACAAUGUGGUGGAUUAGAUAUAUCUAGAUAAAUUGUAAAAUUUUCUUGAGCUUGUUAAUUAUGAAAAUAUGGCACUUUCAAGCAAGCUUAACAAGUCAGAAAUUUUGCCGAAAAUGUUUAAAGAGUUCAUUCACAUAUUCACUAUCUACGACACUGGCAGAGCUAGAUAUUGGUUUUACAUGGGUCAUAUAAAAUCAAAACCUAGCUCUGCCAAUGUAGUAGAUAGUGGAUAUAUAGUAUACGAACAUGUGAAUGAACUGUUUACACAUUUUAGGCAAAAUUUCUGACUUGUUAAGCUUGCUCGAAACUGUCAUAUUUUCAUAACUAACAAGCUCAAGAAAUGUUACAAUUUAUCUAGAUAUAUCUAAUCCACCACAUUUUUAUCUAAGUAGAAACUUGUGAAUGAACUGUUUACACAUUUUAGGCAAUAUCUAGCUAAGAAUGUGUGUGGGAUCUGAACUCAAGAAAUGGGUCACAAAGGAACAUUUUUCCCAUAUAAAAUCAAAACAGGAUCUUAACUUACAAAUAACUCAACUAUUCUUAUUUUUCUACGUCCAGAAAAUUAAAAUCGAAACGAAAAUACAUCUAUAAACCAAAAAUUUAUGUUCUACAUAUCUGAUAUUUUAAAAAGAACUGAACUACCUAGUAUUUUAUUCGAACUAUAUGAAAUUAUAGAAAUUAUCCAAUAUUUUAGUCUCCAUAACCCGAGCUAUUAGCUAUUUUAUAGGAAAGAUUGCCUGAUAUUUUCAUUCAUGUUAUCCAAAGUUAUCCAAAAAACCAAACCGGAUCCAAUCUGUAUCGGAAAAAAUUUCUACUUUUAGUCAGUUCCUGAUAUUUUAUCAGAACGGAACUGAAACCCAAACAGCAACUGAACAUCCACCACCAAUUGUUUACACGCUGUUUAAUUAAACAAUAGGAAAAGAACACUAUCCUUUUAUCAAAGAAACUGUCACAUCCCGGUUCUCCCAAACCGGAAUGAUUUUGUUUUCUUAUUAAUUAACUUGAUUAGGACCAAAGCCCAUCAAGUCUUUCUCUUUUAUUUCUGGCCCGCGUAGUAAACCCUAGGGUUUCCACCUCAUUUUUUUAUAAAAAGGAGCUUCCUCCUUCUUUUCUCUUCCAUUUAGAAAUCAGAGCGAAGCCCUACAGAGUUUCAGAGAGAUUUGAAAACCCUAGCCAUCAUGGUUUCUCUUUUCUAUUCUCUCUCGUUCUCUCUCGCCUGCGUCUCUCUCUCUCUCUCUCUCUCUCUCUCUCUCUCUCUCUCUCUCUCUCCUUGAUGUUCGCCGUUUGCUGAAGGCUGGAGCCAAGCCGUUGGAGAUCCCCGAUGAACCAAUCCAAUUCUAUGUCCAGAUCUCUCCAUGUCUUCUUUCUAGAUCUGGUCACUGGUGAGGUAAGGAACCCUAGUGUCAUUUUCUUCUACUCCUUUCUAUUCCUCCUUUGAGAUCUCUUAUCUCGGGUCUUUGAUGGUAGCACCUACCCGUUUAUUUGUAGAUCUGGUUCGUUGAAAGCCAUAAGCUUCAGAUCUGGUUCUACUCUCUUUCCCAUUCUCAGAUCUAAGACUAAGGUGAGGGCUUGUUGCAAUCUCUAUCUCCUUCUAUCAUUAUCUCAUCAUGGUAGAAGUGUCUAGGUUGAUCAUUCAUCCUUACUUGUUACUUUCUGUAGAUCUACUAAUAUAAAUAAGUAUACAUAUGAUAUAUAUAAAUAUCUUGAUGCUUGAUGUUUGAAAAACAUAGAUCUAUUGCUAAGGUUGUUAAAAUAUGGUUGAAUGAUGUUUGAGGAUUGAAUGUGCUGAUUGUAUUGAUUGGGGUUAUUGUAUAAGAGGAUGAUAUCUAUAUAAUGAGAAUAUAUAAAUGAGUUAGAGAAUGCUUAAGGCAUAUGUGUGCCGGUGUAACGUGGUGGAAUGACAUAUAUGUAUGUCUCGGGCGUUACAUCGUUUCUUGUUGGGUCAUGUGGCAAUCGUUUGAAUUGGCAUGAUUCAUCGCCGGAGCGGGCAUGCGGCGUGCCUGUAAAUGAAGUAACGUAGAAGCGUGAUGUCGUGGAGACAACGUGGAGCGUAUGAACAUGGUGGCGGAUCAAGCGAGAACCGGUGUCGGUAACUUGAUUGCGUGAAGGCGUGAGACAGCGUGAUGUCGUGGAGACAACGCAACAUGAAAGUUCUCGCGCGACAACAUGAGGAACACGGGUACCGAUUUAGGUGGUGUGGUCUCAUUGUUGGCACCGCCGGGGUUUAUCCUCGUUUCUUGUUGAUUGUUUUCGAUUACUGGAUGUUAAAGUUAGAUGUUUAUGCUAUGUUGUGUGAUGAUUGUUGGUGAUUGAUUUUGGGGCUCCUAGAGCUUCCCUCACUGAGCUUUUGUCGAAAUGCUCACCCCUCCUUCUUCCCUUUUCAUUUCAGGUUCGACUCAUAUUGGUGGGUUUUUGUCAAAGGCGUCCUGGGAUCCUAAAGACACAUUGUUUCGGCCUUGUGGCUGGAGACAAGUGUCAUGAUAUCGCCGAUCAUUUCAGCUAUGCUGGGUCGGGGUGUCACAAGUGGUAUCAGAGCCCAGGAAAGACUCUCUAGUCCUAACCUAGAGGGUCAGUCUUGACUCACACCAAUAUGAAUCGAACAAGUUCCUAAUCUCUUACUUAAUGGUUGAGUUUUACCGUUGCUCCGUUCGGAAUUCGGGGCGAAUUCCCAUUUAAGUGGGGUAGAAUUGUCACAUCCCGGUUCUCCCAAACCGGAAUGAUUUUGUUUUCUUAUUAAUUAACUUGAUUUGGACCAAAGCCCAUCAAGUCUUUCUCUUUUAUUUCUGGCCCGCGUAGUAAACCCUAGGGUUUCCACCUCAUUUUUUUAUAAAAAGGAGCCUCCUCCUUCUUUUCUCUUCCAUUUAGAAAUCAGAGCGAAGCCCUGCAGAGUUUCAGAGAGAUUUGAAAACCCUAGCCGUCAUGGUUUCUCUUUUCUCUUCUCUCUCGUUCUCUCUCGCCUGCGUCUCUCUCUCUCUCUCUCUCUCUCUCUCUCUCUCUCUCUCUCUCUCUCUCUCUCUCUCUCUCUCUCUCUCUCUCUCUCUCUCUCUCUCUCUCUCUCUCUCUCUCUCUCUCUCUCUCUCUCUCUGAUGUUCGCCGUUUGCUGAAGGCUGGAGCCAAGCCGUUGGAGAUCCCCGAUGAACCAAUCCAAUUCUAUGUCCAGAUCUCUCCAUGUCUUCUUUCUAGAUCUGGUCACUGGUGAGAUCUGGUUCGUUGAAAGCCAUAAGCUUCAGAUCUGGUUCUACUCUCUUUCCCAUUCUCAGAUCUAAGACCAAGGUUCGACGCAUAUUGGUGGGUUUUUGUCAAAGACGUCCUGGGAUCCUAAAGACACAUUGUUUCGGCCUUGUGGCUGGAGACAAGUGUCAUGAUAUCGCCGACCAUUUCAGCUAUGCUGGGUCGGGGUGUCACAGAAACAAUUUCAGAACUACUCUGGAGUCACAUCUUUUUUUUUUUGUAUCACAUUACUGGACAAGAGUCUUACCC